rnacentral:sRNA from 1 species
UUUUAUUUUGAUGCUGCUCCAAAAGAGUCAGCACCCACUUGGGAGUUGCGGGAGUUGUUUUCACAGAUUCAACAUGUGCCCUCUACAGGAGAGCGACUUGCAGUUGUGGAGGUACAGUGUGAACGGCUGAGGAUGCUCUACCGGGACUGUGCUCGGCCCCCACCGCCUCCUUUGCAGGCUGACCGGAGACAGCCCAAAGAGAUUACUUGGAGCCCCUCGCGAGUGUUUCCGCCUGUUCGAGCCUGCAUGUUCUCAUCUCACCUUACCUCAGUCACCUUCCUGGCUGACCCCAGCGCUGGGGGAGGCCUGCCCCGGGGCACUUUUAUCUAUGCCACUUCACCAUUGCCAGUUCAGGCCCCAUCUUUUUACUGGGAAAUUGAAAUCGUUUCCUAUGGAGACACCGAUGAUGACACUGGGCCCAUAGUUUCCUUUGGCUUCACUACAGAAGCAGAGAA